AAGUCGUAACAAGGUUUCCGUAGGUGAACCUGCGGAAGGAUCAUUACAGAGUUCAUGCCCUUCGGGGUAGAUCUCCCACCCUUGUGUAUCAUUAUAGAAUGUUGCUUUGGCGGGCCGCGUGCCUCGCACGCCUGGAUUCGCGUCCGGCGUGCCCGCCAGAGGACCCCUAAACUCUGAAUGUUAGUGUCGUCUGAGUACUAUUAAAUAGUUAAAACUUUCAACAACGGAUCUCUUGGUUCUG
rnacentral:misc_RNA from 1 species